ACCUGGCCGGCCCAUCAGACCCCUCCGACCGGUUUCAUCCCCACGCCACGAACUUCCUCCCCACCCCCACCAAGCAACCGGAGCCGCCACCGCGCCCGCAUGCCCGCCGGCCGUCGGCCGCCAGAGAAACCGCCUCCUCUCCCGCGCGCUCGCGGGCACCGGAGUCGCCGCCUCGCCCGCGUGGUCAACAGCCACGGGGCGCUCCAAUCCCACCAGCGCGGUCACCGACCACGGCCCCAGUCGCCAGAUCCUGCUGCUGUAGUCGGGGCCCCCUCCACCGGUUCCUUCCACUGCAGCUGACCUCUCCUUCGUGCUUCUUCCCCCACUGCCGCAGCCAACCCCACGUCCAACCGCCGCCGCGACAUUGACGGGAGGUCGGAGAUAUCUACUUCAGUGGUGGAGACGGGGGGUGGGAAAGGGAGGAGCACGGUCCACGACGGAGGUCCGUCACGGUGAUAGGGAAGAAGGCUGGCGGCAGGAUCCGUCACGGCGGAGGUCCGUCAUGCGUCGCUCUGUUUGUUCUUGGCGGUGGCGAGGCUCUCCCUGCCACCACGCAGCCUCCUCCCAGUGGGGCCCAACCGCCGCAGCAGUCAACACGUUCACCCCUGCCACCUCCGGCCGUUCAACUACACAGCCCCAGGACGUUCGCCGCCUCAGCCACCCGGUUCCCACUACUGCAGCGCCAGGACAAGGCCCAUGUCCUUCUUCCAGGCUCAUACUUUUGAUUUCAGACUGUCCAUCGUUAUGCACCCAAUUUAUUCAGAGAGAUGGUCAGUGAUGCUUGCCAUGCUAUGCUACUACAGGUUAGGCAAGGCAAACUGUGAUGAAACACACUCACAUAGAUCACACCUAAUUGGCACCUCGGUGAUCUCAGGGUCCAAGUUCGGUAAGUAUUCAGUUCAGAAAGAUUUGGUAUACAUAAAUUUUGCACGAGUUAGUUGUGGAUGGAUCAUUUGUCUAUCAGAUUUGGAAUUGAUACUUUGCUCAUGUAUAUAUGUGAAUGAACCUUCUCUGUAUCACUUAAUCUAGUGCAAGCAGCACCAUUUAAAAUUAGGUUGCGGCCUUUCCCCCAUCUCAACUUUUUUUACUUGCAACUAUGGAAUUUGGUCGUGGCUAGCAGCAAGAACAAGAAGAGACAGGUUUGCUGGAGUCUGCAAUGCGACGAGCAGAACAAUGCAUGAGACAGGUUAGCUGGAGCCUGCAGGCUGCAGGCAUGGUCGCCGAGCUGCUAAUACUUUGGGGUCGCUCGUAAUGUACUUGGCCGAAUGCUACUACUGCUACAAACAUGUGUAUUAUUUUUGGUAGCUCGCU